CCUACGGGAGGCUGCAGUGAGGAAUAUUGGUCAAUGGACGAAAGUCUGAACCAGCCAUGCCGCGUGCAGGAAGACGGCUCUCUGAGUUGUAAACUGCUUUUGUACGGGGGUAAACGCAGAUACGCGUCUCUGUCUGACAGUAUCGUACGAAUAAGGAUCGGCUAACUCCGUGCCAGCAGCCGCGGUACUACGGAGGAUUCAAGCGUUAUCCGGAUUUAUUGGGUUUAAAGGGUGCGUAGGCGGUCGGAUAAGUUAGAUGUGAAAGCCCGAGGCUCAACUUCGGAAGUGCCUCUGAUACUGGUCGGCUAGAGAGUAGUAGCGGUAGGCGGAAUGUAUGGUGUAGCGGUGAAAUGCUUAGAGAUCAUACAGAACACCGAUUGCGAAGGCAGCUUACCAGGCUACAACUGACGUUGAGGCACGAAAGCGUGGGGAGCAAACAGGAUUAGAUACCCGAGUAGUC
rnacentral:rRNA from 1 species